rnacentral:rRNA from 1 species
UACGUAGGGGGCAAGCGUUUGUCCGGAUUUAUUGGGCGUAAAGCGCGCGUAGGCGGUCAGGUAAGUCCGGUGUGAAAGUCAAAGGCUCAACCUUUGAAUGCCGCUGGAAACUGUCUGGCUAGAGUCCGGAAGGGGCGAGUGGAAUUCCUGGUGUAGCGGUGAAAUGCGCAGAUAUCAGGAGGAACACCGGUGGCGAAGGCGGGUCUCUGGCCCGAAUACUGAC